CGGAGCGAUCCAGGACCAUCAUCUAAAAGCCCCACAUAAAAGCAUUGUAAAUUAGCACAAGAACCCGAUGCACUAAACAAAGACUCCCAAAAGAAAAUUUUGUGAAACCACUUAUCAGACUACACAGAUCACUGCCAUCCUUAAUAAAAUUUUGCCCAAAAUUUAAGAGAAAACCCAUCAAAUAGGCCAUGAAUUAGAUCCAUUUUUCAGCAAAUUCCCAGUUCUACCUCCCAAAUUAAGAUUAAAAAAAAAGCCUUUUGAUUACUAAGAAAUAUCUAAUCAAAAGUAGUUUCAUAUCACAUGAACAGAUUAGCAUGAAAUGGAGGGCAAAACCAAAGGGUAAUUAUUAGGGCAAAAAGAGAGAGAGAGAGAGAG
rnacentral:misc_RNA from 1 species